rnacentral:rRNA from 1 species
UACGUAGGGUGCGAGCGUUAAUCGGAAUUACUGGGCGUAAAGCGUGCGCAGGCGGUUAUUUAAGUCAGGUGUGAAAGCCCUGGGCUUAACCUAGGAAUUGCGCUUGAGACUGGAUAGCUUGGAGUGCGGCAGAGGGAGGUGGAAUUCCACGUGUAGCAGUGAAAUGCGUAGAGAUGUGGAGGAACACCAGUGGCGAAGGCGACUACCUGGCCUGUUUCUUGACGCUGAGGCGCGAAAGCUAGGGGGAGCAAACGGG